rnacentral:rRNA from 1 species
CACAGAGGUGGCAAGCGUUGUUCGGAAUUACUGGGCGUAAAGGGCGUGUAGGCGGCUCUUCAAGUCAGGCGUGAAAGCCCCGGGCUCAACCCGGGAACUGCGCUUGAUACUGUCGAGCUAGAGUGUGGAAGGGGCGAUUGGAAUUCCGUGUGUAGCGGUGAAAUGCGUAGAUAUACGGAGGAACACCAGAGGCGAAGGCGGAUCGCUGGGCCAACACUGACGCUGAAAUGCGAAAGCUAGGGUAGCAAACGGG